rfam:Schistosoma rodhaini strain Burundi genome assembly, scaffold: SROB_scaffold0003366
AUCCAGCUGACGAGUACCAAAUAGGACGAAACGUGCGUCCUGGAU